rnacentral:rRNA from 1 species
AGAGGGUGCAAGUGUUGUUCGGAAUCACUGGGCGUAAAGGGCGUGUAGGCGGUGGAGUAUGUCUGACGUGAAAGCCCCCGGCUUAACCGGGGAAUGGCAUGGAAACUACUUCACUCGAGUGCGAGAGAGGGUGGCGGAAUUCCUAGUGUAGAGGUGAAAUUCGUAGAUACUAGGAGGAACACCUGAGGCGAAGGCGGCCACCUGGCUCGUAACUGACGCUGAGACGCGACAGCGUGGGGAGCAAACAGGGAUUAGAUACCCUGGUAGUCCACGCCGUAAACGAUGAUAACUAGAUGUUGGGAGUAUUGACCCUCUCAGCGUCGGAGUUAACGCAUUAAGUUAUCCGCCUGGGGAGUACGGCCGCAAGGCUA